GCCGAGGUGGUGAAAUUGGUAGACACGCUGGAUUCAAAAUCCAGUGGCUUCACGGCCGUGCCGGUUCGAUUCCGGCUCUCGGUACCA
rnacentral:tRNA from 1 species